rnacentral:rRNA from 1 species
UACAGAGGUCCCAAGCGUUGUUCGGAUUCAUUGGGCGUAAAGGGUGCGUAGGUGGCGUGGUUAGUCGGGUGUGAAAUCCCGGGGCUCAACCCCGGAACUGCACUCGAUACUGCCGUGCUGGAGUACUGGAGAGGAGACUGGAAUUUACGGUGUAGCAGUGAAAUGCGUAGAUAUCGUAAGGAAGACCGGUGGCGAAAGCUAGUCUCUGGACAGUCACUGACACUGAGGCACGAAGGCUAGGGGAGCAAACGGG